UACGUAGGGUGCAAGCGUUGCCCGGAUUUAUUGGGCGUAAAGGGCGCGUAGGCGGUCACGCACGUCCGUUGUGAAAUCGCUCGGCUCAACUGGGCGGGGUCGGUGGAAACUGGUCACCUGGAGGACGGUAGAGGCGAGUGGAAUUCCCGGUGUAGUGGUGAAAUGCGUAGAGAUCGGGAGGAACACCAGUGGCGAAGGCGGCUCGCUGGGCCGGUCCUGACGCUGAGACGCGAAGGCGUGGGGAGCGAACGGG
rnacentral:rRNA from 1 species